rnacentral:rRNA from 1 species
AGUGAACGCUGGCGGUAGGCCUAACACAUGCAAGUCGAACGGCAGCACAGUAAGAGCUUGCUCUUACGGGUGGCGAGUGGCGGACGGGUGAGGAAUACAUCGGAAUCUACUUUUUCGUGGGGGAUAACGUAGGGAAACUUACGCUAAUACCGCAUACGACCUACGGGUGAAAGCAGGGGAUCUUCGGACCUUGCGCGAUUGAAUGAGCCGAUGUCGGAUUAGCUAGUUGGCGGGGUAAAGGCCCACCAAGGCGACGAUCCGUAGCUGGUCUGAGAGGAUGAUCGGCCACACGGGAACUGAGACACGGUCCAGACUCCUACGGGAGGCAGCAGUGGGGAAUAUUGGACAAUGGGCGCAAGCCUGAUCCAGCCAUACCGGGGGGGUGAAGAAGGCCUUCGGGUUGUAAAGCCCUUUUGUUGGGAAAGAAAAGCAGCAGGUUAAAACCCCGCUGUUCUGACGGUACCCAAAGAAUAAGCACCGGCUAACUUCGU